UUUUUUUUUCAGGCAGCAGGGGGACUACCUGUCAUUCCAGGCACUCCCCCUGCAGGCAAUGCUAUGGACGGCUAUUCCGUCCAUGUGAUCAUGGACCUUGCGAUCACAUUGCCCAGGAGGGCCGGAACGGCAGCAGGGGGACUCCCUUGGAUCCGCGAUCGCCGGAGUGGGAUCACAGGCGAGCGGGUAAGUACACAGGACGGCUUAUGCCACCCGCCGACGUUUAGAGCC